GAUGAACGCUGGCGGCGUGCCUAAUACAUGCAAGUCGAGCGAACAGACGAGGAGCUUGCUCCUCUGACGUUAGCGGCGGACGGGUGAGUAACACGUGGAUAACCUACCUAUAAGACUGGGAUAACUUCGGGAAACCGGAGCUAAUACCGGAUAAUAUCUUGAACCGCAUGGUUCAAUAGUGAAAGACGGUCUUGCUGUCACUUAUAGAUGGAUCCGCGCCGCAUUAGCUAGUUGGUAAGGUAACGGCUUACCAAGGCAACGAUGCGUAGCCGACCUGAGAGGGUGAUCGGCCACACUGGAACUGAGACACGGUCCAGACUCCUACGGGAGGCAGCAGUAGGGAAUCUUCCGCAAUGGGCGAAAGCCUGACGGAGCAACGCCGCGUGAGUGAUGAAGGUCUUCGGAUCGUAAAACUCUGUUAUUAGGGAAGAACAAAUGUGUAAGUAACUGUGCACAUCUUGACGGUACCUAAUCAGAAAGCCACGGCUAACUACGUG
rnacentral:rRNA from 1 species